CAACAGCUAGAGUUUGAUCCUGGCUCAGGAUGAACGCUGGCGGCGUGCCUAACACAUGCAAGUCGAACGGAGUUUUGCGAGGAAGUUUUCGGAUGGAAUUGCGAGACUUAGUGGCGGACGGGUGAGUAACGCGUGGGAAACCUGCCCUGUACUGGGGGAUAACACUUAGAAAUAGGUGCUAAAACCGCAUAAGCGCACGGGACCGCAUGGUCUUGUGUGAAAAACUCCGGUGGUACAGGAUGGUCCCGCGUCUGAUUAGCCAGUUGGCAGGGUAACGGCCUACCAAAGCGACGAUCAGUAGCCGGCCUGAGAGGGUGAACGGCCACAUUGGGACUGAGACACGGCCCAAACUCCUACGGGAGGCAGCAGUGGGGAAUAUUGCACAAUGGGGGAAACCCUGAUGCAGCAACGCCGCGUGAAGGAAGAAGGUUUUCGGAUUGUAAACUUCUAUCAAUAGGGAAGAAAGAAAUGACGGUACCUAAAUAAGAAGCCCCGGCUAACUACGUGCCAGCAGCCGCGGUAA
rnacentral:rRNA from 1 species